rnacentral:lncRNA from 1 species
GAACAACUCCUGACAGGUUCUGAUAGGUCACUUUCAUAUCAGAAGAACAUGGGUCAUUCCCUAUUCACAAAAUUGGAAAUUAGGAAACACUGAAAAAGUUAAAACAUUGACAGCCCACCAUCGAUGGUCAAAAAACAUCGUCACAGUAACAACGAUGUUAAAAACAUCGAACAGCGGUCACCUACCAUCGAUGUUUUUUAAACAUCGACCAUCGAUGCUCAUCCGUAGUGCGAACAAGCCAUUCGACGCCAUUUAGUACCUCGAUGGUCUGCAGCUUAAAAUUUGGAUCAGUAGAAACGAGUCUUGACAUUGCUUUAAAGAAUUGCCAGAAAGAAGAAGAUCACAGCGGUGCAAUGACGUAAGAGUAGUGACCUGGUAUUAAUCCAUCGAUAAUAGACAAAUUCCAUGGAAAAUUAAAGUCUUCGGCUCAUGAAAGGACAAACGCAAAAUAACGCAGAACUACUAAACCUAGCCGGACUGGUGAGUGGACAUUGCAAACUCCAAAGUUACAAGACACGCUUUAAAAAAAUUAAUACCGCUAUGUGAAGAAGAAAGAAGAAUGGAAAUUUUUUUCGGGUCUAAACACGAGUUAUACUUAACAGGUUGCGCAUAGGUCAUGCCAAGACACAUAAUGGAGGUGAAACCUUGUAGGUGCCCGUUCUAUGGGGAACUUAUCACGGUAGGGAACAUAAUGGCAGAUGUAAAGAAAAGUCUGCGAUGAAAGAAAUAUGCGCGGGACCGCAGCAGGCACAUGUCGGUGAUCCGAUAUCUCAGGGACGUAAAUAUUUGUAAUUGCA